rnacentral:tRNA from 1 species
UUUUGAGUAGAACCCAAAUACCGCUAGUAUUUUAAGGAAUUAAAAAUCCCUCAAAAC